rnacentral:lncRNA from 1 species
ACCCAGAGAUGAGAUCUUGUUUGAACGCAUGUGUACCUUUAAGGCAUGAAACCACUGCAGAAACUCUUGACUUCAUCUUUGCUCAGGGACGAGCAAAGGUUAAGCUUGGAGGAGCUUGUUGACGGUCCUUAAUGCUCACAUUUAACCGUCAACUAAUCAUGGAAUAGGAUCCAAAUGCAACUAACACUCAGACUUAGGGUUUUAUCUGACAGAAUUCCACGAGUUUUGGUGUUUAUCUAUUUCUGCAGGGGGUUAUCAGAAAAUAUGGAAGAAAGGCCCAC